rnacentral:rRNA from 1 species
AGAGUUUGAUCCUGGCUCAGGACGAACGCUGGCGGCGUGCUUAACACAUGCAAGUCACGGGGGCCAGCAAUGGCAACCGGCGAACGGGUGCGUAACACGUGAGCAAUCUGCCGAUGUCUGGGGGAUAGCCGGCCCAACGGCCGGGUAAUACCGCAUACGCUUGCUUUGAGGAGUCUCGAGGCAAGGAAACCUCCGGGGGACAUCGAGGAGCUCGCGGCCUAUCAGCUAGUUGGCGGGGUAAUGGCCCACCAAGGCUCUGACGGGUAGCUGGUCUGAGAGGAUGGCCAGCCACAUUGGGACUGAGAAACGGCCCAGACUCCUACGGGAGGCAGCAGUGGGGAAUCUUGCGCAAUGGCCGAAAGGCUGACGCAGCGACGCCGCGUGUGGGAGGACGCCCUUCGGGGUGUAAACCACUGUUGCCCGGGACGAACAUCCCCUUUCGAGGGGACUGACGGUACCGGGUGAGGGAGCACCGGCUAACUCCGUGCCAGCAGCCGCGGUAAUACGGAGGGUGCGAGCGUUGUCCGGAAUCACUGGGCGUAAAGGGCGCGUAGGCGGCGCGGGAAGUCAUCGGUGAAAGUUCAGGGCUCAACUCUGAAUCGGCCGGUGAUACUCUCGUGCUCGAGCACUGUAGAGGCAGGUGGAAUUCCGGGUGUAGCGGUGGAAUGCGUAGAGAUCCGGAAGAACACCGGUGGCGAAGGCGGCCUGCUGGGCAGUAGCUGACGCUGAUGCGCGACAGCGUGGGGAGCAAACAGGAUUAGAUACCCUGGUAGUCCACGCCGUAAACGAUGGGCACUAGG